UACGGAGGGUGCAAGCGUUAUCCGGAUUCACUGGGUUUAAAGGGUGCGUAGGUGGGUUGGUAAGUCCGUGGUGAAAUCUCUGGGCUUAACCCGGAAACUGCCAUGGAUACUAUGUGUCUUGAAUGUUGUUGAGGUGAGCGGAAUAUGUCAUGUAGCGGUGAAAUGCUUAGAUAUGACAUAGAACACCAAUUGCGAAGGCAGCUCACUAAGCAAAUAUUGACGCUGAGGCACGAAAGCGUGGGGAUCAAACAGG
rnacentral:rRNA from 1 species